rnacentral:rRNA from 1 species
ACGCUCGACACCUACGGGCGGCAGCAGUGAGGAAUAUUGGUCAAUGGGCGCUAGCCUGAACCAGCCAAGUAGCGUGAAGGAUGAAGGCUCUAUGGGUCGUAAACUUCUUUUAUAUAAGAAUAAAGUGCAGUAUGUAUACUGUUUUGUAUGUAUUAUAUGAAUAAGGAUCGGCUAACUCCGUGUCAGCAGCCGCGGUAAUCUGAGCGGGCUGGCAAGGC